CCACACAGCUCCUGUCGCUUCAAGUGCGGAUGAGUGUUGCUGGAGAUGGCCACUGGAGAGGCUGAGUCAAAUCAAUCUCCUCACCUGAGGACUUCCUAAGACCAGCGCACUGAAGGACCAGCAGCAACAACAACAAUAAUGCUAAUGCUCCCUUAUGGACAAGACUGCAAUUCUCUGCCUGCUGAAGCUCAGCUAUGACCACGUGACUUGCCUUGGCCAAUGAAAGAGGAAGAGUAUGUAACACUGCUGAAUGGAAGCAAGUGGCCCCUGCCCCUGCUGCAGAGAUUCUAGACAUGUGUGCCAUGCUGGAGCAAGGAGACAGGGAGUCCUGGAGAAAGGAGACAUGGAACAGAGCUCCCAGCCCAGUCAAUAUGUAACAUGAGUGAGAAAUAAAUAACACUUUGUUGCUAGAAGUUUUUUUUAAACUGAAGUAUAACUCAGCUUCCCCUGACCCAUGCAGAAAGUCAUCUAUCAAUGUUAAGUAUCACUAAAUUUAUUUUACAGAAGAAGAAUCUAAAGCUCAGAGUAGUGGUCUCAAUAUCACUCAGCAAUUAUGUGAUGGAAGCAUACUGAAGGCCCACGUUUUAAAGUGGACACCAAGGGGAAUAUAGCAUAAAUAGAAAUUUUCUAACUGCAGGGAAUUCUUGCUAUACAACUGCAAAGAAUAGGCCCCACUACUUCCUAGCUGUGCCUCAAUUUCCUGAUCAGUUAAAUGGGACUAAUAAAAGAGCAGCUAGUGGCUGGGUGCGGUGGCUCACGCCUGUAAUCCCAGCACUUUGGGAGGCCGAGGCGGGCAGAUCAAGAGGUCAGGAGAUCGAGACCACAGUGAAACCCCGUCUCUACUAAAAAUACAAAAAAUUAGCUGUGCGCAGUGGCGGGUGCCUGUAGUCCCAGCUACUCGGGAGGCUGAGGUAGGAGAAUGUCGUUAACUCGGAAGGCGGAGCUUGCAGUGAGCCGAGAUCGCGCCACUGCACUCCAGUCUGGGCGACAGAGGGAGACUCUGUCUCAAAAAAAACGACAACAACAAAAAAAAAAAAAAAAAAAAAAAAGAAAGAGUAGCUAGUGCAAGAGAUGGAGAAGGGAUUAAAUGAAAAUACAUGUAAAUUGCUCAUAAGAUUAUCUAGAAUAAACCGAACAUUCAAAAAUGUUAGUUACUAUUAUUAUUAACAAUUGCUAUUAUAAUCCUAAUAUCACCUGUUUCUCAUCAGUCGGUGGAUACAAGCAAUUACAUUUACAUAAAUAUGUAAAGCAAUAAAGCCAAACCAGAGACUCCUAA
rnacentral:lncRNA from 1 species